UACAGAGGUCUCAAGCGUUGUUCGGAUUCAUUGGGCGUAAAGGGUGCGUAGGCGGCGCGGUAAGUCGGGUGUGAAAUUUCGAGGCUUAACUUCGAAACUGCAUUCGAUACUGCCGUGCUUGAGGACUGGAGAGGAGACUGGAAUUUACGGUGUAGCGGUGAAAUGCGUAGAUAUCGUAAGGAAGACCAGUGGCGAAGGCGGGUCUCGUGGACAGUUCCUGACGCUGAGGAGCGAAAGCCAGGGGAGCAAACGGG
rnacentral:rRNA from 1 species